AACGAACGCUGGCGGCAUGCCUAACACAUGCAAGUCGAACGAGACCUUCGGGUCUAGUGGCGCACGGGUGCGUAACGCGUGGGAACCUGCCCUUAGGUUCGGAAUAACUCCCCGAAAGGGGGGCUAAUACCGGGUAAUGUCUUCGGACCAAAGAUUUAUCGCCUUUGGAUGGGCCCGCGUUGGAUUAGCUAGUUGGUAGGGUAAAAGCCUACCAAGGCGACGAUCCAUAGCUGGUCUGAGAGGAUGAUCAGCCACACUGGGACUGAGACACGGCCCAGACUCCUACGGGAGGCAGCAGUGGGGAAUAUUGGACAAUGGGCGAAAGCCUGAUCCAGCAAUGCCGCGUGAGUGAUGAAGGCCUUAGGGUUGUAAAGCUCUUUUACCCGGGAUGAUAAUGACAGUACCGGGAGAAUAAGCUCCGGCUAACUCCGUG
rnacentral:rRNA from 1 species